CCCCUUUUAAAAGCACUCGGUGGGCCUUGGCUGAUGACCCACUGAGCCGUCAAGAAGGGGCAGAGGAAAACACCGCUUUUGGGUGAAGCGGCAGCGUGUGGUGUUGUUUCGCUUCAAUCGGCGGUGUGACAGCG
ensembl:snoRNA SNORA21 small nucleolar RNA, H/ACA box 21